GGCAGAAACAAAAUGUGAAGCAUACAGGAGGGAGAAAGCCAUUCGUACGAAUAUUGGAGGAAAUGAAUGAAGAAGACCCGAACUUGAUACAGUUUUACAAAGAAGUGCAUUGGUCAAGAAAGAAGGGCUGUUUUAUAACUGGCCUAGCAGAACAGAACUACAAACUAAUGCUUGAGCGAUUGGAUGAGACUGAGGUGGAUACAGAAAACAACAAUGAGAAGUGCAAUGCAGCAUUCAAGGAGGUUUUAGGAUAUAAAGCAGGUUAUGCAACAGGACUUGGACACUCG